UACGAAGGGGGCGAGCGUUGUUCGGAAUUACUGGGCGUAAAGGGCGCGCAGGCGGCUCAGACAGUCAGAUGUGAAAGCCCCGGGCUUAACCUGGGAACUGCAUUUGAUACUACUGAGCUUGAGUACGGGAGAGGAUAGUGGAAUUCCCAGUGUAGAGGUGAAAUUCGUAGAUAUUGGGAAGAACACCGGUGGCGAAGGCGGCGACCUGGUCCAUUACUGACGCUGAGGCGCGAAAGCGUGGGGAGCAAACAGG
rnacentral:rRNA from 1 species